rnacentral:rRNA from 1 species
GACGUAGGGGGCGAGCGUUGUUCGGAAUUAUUGGGCGUAAAGAGCUUGUAGGCGGGAAAGUAAGUCUUUGAAUAAAGGCUAAGGCUCAACUUUAGUAAGUUCGGAGAUACUGCUUUUCUUGAGAACAGGAGAGGGGAGUGGAAUUCCUAGUGUAGCGGUGAAAUGCGUAGAUAUUAGGAGGAACACCAGUGGCGAAGGCGGCUCUCUGGCCUGUUUCUGACGCUGAGGAGCGAAAGCUGGGGGAGCGAACGGG